UAAAACCCCUAUUUUUCCCACUGAAACCCUAACUUUGCAAACAGGCCUUCUCUCUCGCUUUCUCUUCCUCCCUCCCUCCCUGCGACAUUAUAACAAAAAUCUCAAAAAAAAAUUUAACAAGAAGAGAUUAUAUUCAAAAAGAAAAAAAGAAGAGGAAAAUGGAGGCACCAAAGACGAUUCAGCAUAAAAUGGAAGCAAUAAGCUGAUGAUCUGUUUGUGAGAGUCGGAAGAGGACCAGUUCACUUUUACGAAAUAUGCUUGAUGUUAUUGAGGAAGUACAGAUAGCACGGUUAGAAAUUAGGGGUCUGAUUCUUACUAGCUUCCGUUCUCCAUCUGGUACACUAUUAUCUCCACUUUAUUAUGUUUCUUAAAUUUGUGGUUGUGAUGCCGUGGGCUGAAAUUCUUGCUUUGAGAAUUUGACUUUGAUUCUUUUCUUCAGGAAAACAAAGUAGAGAUGAUGGAUGACUAGAUCAUAUUUCUUGUUUGAUAUAAUGCCAUUUGAAACCUAUGCAUGCUUAUCCUGCUACGAACUGUUUUACUUAUUAUUUUGUUUUAAUUUAUUGGAAUGGAGCUUAGCGUUUUGGGCGCUCUUGUUUUUAUUUAUGAGUGGCAGGAUAUAAGUCAUAAAACUAGGGAAGGAAAAGUUUUUCUAUUUCCAGGACUCUUUCUUCAGUUAGUUUAACAUAUUCAAGGUAAAGGCUUUUAAUGAUAGCUGGUGCAAGACCAUUCAAAGUUUUAAUGUUCCUCUCUUUUCCGGUUUGUUUAAGUGUGGUUGUAAAAAGGUUUGGCAUAGCCCACACAUGGCUUGGUGAAGUUAAAUCUAUGCAAAAAUGGUUAGUGUUGAUUAAAAUUAAAAAAUGCAGUAAACCGUCUUUUAUCUUUGGUUUAUUGAAUUCACAGAUAUUGUUGAAAACUAGUCAACAUAAAGUAAUUUAUGUUCACCACUUUCUAUCCACAUAUCAUUUAAGGAAUUUUAUCCUAUUUUUAUCCUAUUUUUGACUGAUUUUUUCCCUCAUCAUUUUGUUUGCAUUUGUUGACAAAUAUUGUGUUUUAAAAAUUUCUAUCCUGUGAAUUUAACAAGCUCUUUGUUGAAUUACUGAGCAAGUUCUAAGGGGAAGACUGAUGUUAUGAAAAAGAUUAAGUUUCCACAGAUGGAGUAGAAAUCUGCUAGUAAAACUGUUCAACGACAAGCAAAGAGGCAGCACUACCUUGUCCCAUAAGAGAAAUUUUGGAAAAGGAAAAGAAGGUGGUGGAUCUAUUUCCUGAUGCUACUCUAUUGUUGGUGGAUCUGUAAAUUGAAGUGGAAGUGCUGACUGUUCAAUAUAUAGGUUCAUAGUUCUCAACUUGUUGUUAAGUUUAUGUGUGCAUUGAUGGUUAAUGAUAAUUGUUAAAAUGGAUUUGAAUUGCUUAUUUUGAUGAUGAAAUCAUUAAUUCUCAAUGGCCAGAGGAAAUGCCUCUGUGCCUGCCAUGGAAAUGACCAAGUGGCUUGACACCAACUAGUAAGUUGCUAUUUCUUGGCCUAUUUUAUCAGCUUUGCUAUGCAUACUGAGAUUUUGGUACUAAUACUAAUUCCCAAUUUUCAAUUGCAAUCCAUCUAAAAUAGCCUUUUUAUCUCCAUUCGAUAUAUAACGUUGUUGGCCUUUUCAUUUUUAGGCAUAUUCAAAGUCUACAGUUUACAUGAGCCAUGCUUCGUGUGACAACAAACAUCGCUCGGGAAGGUCUCGUUAUUGGUUCCUAACGUUUUUGCACUUGCAAAGUUUAUGAAUGUUAGUGAAGAUGAGAGUCAACUUUCUGCCGUAUAUGGAUAACUCCAAUAUAGUGCAGAAUAUAAGAGAGGUGCAGAGGGAUAGAGCUGCAGAGCUUUUGGGCUUGCGUGCAUGCAAUUUUCGGCCACGACACUCAAGCAAACUUGGAAAUGAGUUUCGGGUGUUCACAAACUAUGACGCUGGGGAGAGAUUAGGAGGAUGGGAGCAAGAACAAUAGGUGCCUUUUUCUUGCCAUCGUUUGCUAGGAAUAUUUUCUCAUGGAUGAGCUUCAUGGAACCUAAUUUUUAUCCACUAUCAAGGCAUUUCCAACACUUACCCUUGGAAAAAUUAACCAGCUUUUCUGCUAAUUUUCCCAGAGAAAACAUGAAAACAUGCAGAUGAGAAAACUUCCAAGCAAGCUCAUCCUCAUAUUAUGCAUUUUGGUCUACUUUUUUAAACUAGUGCAAUUUUCCUCACUUGUGUAGAUUUCGUAAUACAUAAAACUAUUUAAGGUUGUUUAAAGUUGUACUGACUCAUGCCUACUCAUUGCCAUUUUUAAAUGUAAUUUGUCUGUUGUUCCAAAACGCACAAUACAGAUGGAAGAAGCCAUACAAGUUUCUCA